AUCAGAAGUGCGAAUGCUGACAUAAGUAACGAUAAAGCGGGUGAAAAGCCCGCUCGCCGGAAGACCAAGGGUUCCUGUCCAACGUUAAUCGGGGCAGGGUGAGUCGACCCCUAAGGCGAGGCCGAAAGGCGUAGUCGAUGGGAAACGGGUUAAUAUUCCCGUACUUGGUGUUACUGCGAAGGGGGGACGGAGAAGGCUAUGUUGGCCGGGCGACGGUUGUCCCGGUUUAAGCGUGUAGGUGUGUGUUCCAGGUAAAUCCGGUUCACUUUAACACUGAGGCGUGAUGACGAGGCACUACGGUGCUGAAGCAACAAAUGCCCUGCUUCCAGGAAAAGCCUCUAAGCAUCAGGUAACAUCAAAUCGUACCCCAAACCGACACAGGUGGUCAGGUAGAGAAUACCAAGGCGCUUGAGAGAACUCGGGUGAAGGAACUAGGCAAAAUGGUGCCGUAACUUCGGGAGAAGGCACGCUGACACGUAGGUGAAGUGAUUUACUCAUGGAGCUGAAGUCAGUCGAAGAUACCAGCUGGCUGCAACUGUUUAUUAAAAACACAGCACUGUGCAAACACGAAAGUGGACGUAUACGGUGUGACGCCUGCCCGGUGCCGGAAGGUUAAUUGAUGGGGUCAGCGCAAGCGAAGCUCCUGAUCGAAGCCCCGGUAAACGGCGGCCGUAACUAUAACGGUCCUAAGGUAGCGAAAUUCCUUGUCGGGUAAGUUCCGACCUGCACGAAUGGCGUAAUGAUGGCCAGGCUGUCUCCACCCGAGACUCAGUGAAAUUGAACUCGCUGUGAAGAUGCAGUGUACCCGCGGCAAGACGGAAAGACCCCGUGAACCUUUACUAUAGCUUGACACUGAACAUUGAGCCUUGAUGUGUAGGAUAGGUGGGAGGCUUUGAAGUGUGGACGCCAGUCUGCAUGGAGCCGACCUUGAAAUACCACCCUUUAAUGUUUGAUGUUCUAACGUGGACCCGUAAUCCGGGUUGCGGACAGUGUCUGGUGGGUAGUUUGACUGGGGCGGUCUCCUCCUAAAGAGUAACGGAGGAGCACGAAGGUUGGCUAAUCCUGGUCGGACAUCAGGAGGUUAGUGCAAUGGCAUAAGCCAGCUUGACUGCGAGCGUGACGGCGCGAGCAGGUGCGAAAGCAGGUCAUAGUGAUCCGGUGGUUCUGAAUGGAAGGGCCAUCGCUCAACGGAUAAAAGGUACUCCGGGGAUAACAGGCUGAUACCGCCCAAGAGUUCAUAUCGACGGCGGUGUUUGGCACCUCGAUGUCGGCUCAUCACAUCCUGGGGCUGAAGUAGGUCCCAAGGGUAUGGCUGUUCGCCAUUUAAAGUGGUACGCGAGCUGGGUUUAGAACGUCGUGAGACAGUUCGGUCCCUAUCUGCCGUGGGCGCUGGAGAACUGAGGGGGGCUGCUCCUAGUACGAGAGGACCGGAGUGGACGCAUCACUGGUGUUCGGGUUGUCAUGCCAAUGGCACUGCCCGGUAGCUAAAUGCGGAAGAGAUAAGUGCUGAAAGCAUCUAAGCACGAAACUUGCCCCGA
rnacentral:rRNA from 1 species